GACAGAGGGUGCAAACGUUGUUCGGAAUUACUGGGCGUAAAGCGCGUGUAGGCUGCUCGGAAAGUCGGAUGUGAAAGCCCUGGGCUCAACCUAGGAAGUGCAUUCGAAACUUCCGAGCGUGGAGUGCUGGAGAGGAAGGCGGAAUUCUCGGUGUAGAGGUGAAAUGCGUAGAUAUCGGGAGGAAUACCUAUGGCGAAAGCAGGCUACUGGACCGUCACUGACUCUGAUCUGCGAAAGCUAGGGGAGCAAACAGG
rnacentral:rRNA from 1 species